UGCUUCCUAAGCUGAGGGCGGGUUCCCUCCAGCUCGACGAACAGGAAUGGGCGGGAGCCGGCAGCGGGCUGAGCGAUGGCUGUGGGGCCUAAUAAAGUGAACUACUGAGAAGUAUUGAUGCAAUAG
rnacentral:lncRNA from 1 species